AUUGAACGCUGGCGGCAUGCCUUACACAUGCAAGUCGAACGGUAACGGGCCUUCGGGUGCCGACGAGUGGCGAACGGGUGAGUAAUACAUCGGAACGUGCCCGAUCGUGGGGGAUAACGAGGCGAAAGCUUUGCUAAUACCGCAUACGAUCUACGGAUGAAAGCAGGGGACCGCAAGGCCUUGCGCGGACGGAGCGGCCGAUGGCAGAUUAGGUAGUUGGUGGGAUAAAAGCUUACCAAGCCGACGAUCUGUAGCUGGUCUGAGAGGAUGAUCAGCCACACUGGGACUGAGACACGGCCCAGACUCCUACGGGAGGCAGCAGUGGGGAAUUUUGGACAAUGGGCGCAAGCCUGAUCCAGCCAUGCCGCGUGCAGGAUGAAGGCCUUCGGGUUGUAAACUGCUUUUGUACGGAACGAAAAGCCUUCUUUUAAUACAGGAAGGUCAUGACGGUACCGUAAGAAUAAGCACCGGCUAACUACGUG
rnacentral:rRNA from 1 species